rnacentral:rRNA from 1 species
CGGACGAACGCUUGCGGCGUGCCUGAGAAAUGCAAGUCGAGCGGGGUGUAGCAAUACACCUAGCGGCGAACGGUCGAGUAACACGUAAGCAACCUGCCCUGCAGUGGGGGAUAACAGCGGGAAACUGCUGCUAAUACCGCAUAGGCAUAUUUCUGGGCAUCCAGGGAUGUGUAAAGGCUAGACUGCUGCAGGAGGGGCUUGCGGCCUAUUAGCUAGUCGGUGGGGUAACGGCCUACCGAGGCGACGAUGGGUAGCUGGUCUGAGAGGAUGGUCAGCCGGAUCGGGACUGAGACACGGCCCGGACUCCUACGGGAGGCAGCAGUGGGGAAUAUUGCGCAAUGGGGGGAACCCUGACGCAGCGACGCCGCGUGAGCGACGAAGGCCUUCGGGUCGUAAAGCUCUGUUCUUGGGGACGAAGGAAAUGACGGUACCCAAGGAGAAAGCCCCGGCUAACUACGUG